GAAAUGCGAUAAGUAAUGUGAAUUGCAGAAUUCAGUGAAUCAUCGAAUCUUUGAACGCACAUUGCGCCCGCCAGUAUUCUGGCGGGCAUGCCUGUUCGAGCGUCAUUACAACCCUCAGGCCCCCGGGCCUGGCGUUGGGGAUCGGCGGAAGCCUCCUGCGGGCACAACGCCGUCCCCCAAAUACAGUGGCGGUCCCGCCGCAGCUUCCAUUGCGUAGUAGCUAACACCUCGCAACUGGAGAGCGGCGCGGCCACGCCGUAAAACACCCAACUUCUGAAUGUUGACCUCGAAUCAGGUAGGAAUACCCGCUGAACUUAAGC
rnacentral:misc_RNA from 1 species